GAACACUCUCGAUAGGAUUGAAUAUGUUUGCUGCAUCCAUGUCUGUUUAAUUUACUUUUUGAGCAACUUAACUUGCUAUUCAGCUUACUGCCGACCUGACCUGCCUCCUCUCUCGAAAAGUAUUGUAAAAUACUGAAAUGCGUAUACGUAUACUUCAUUCGUAGAUUUGGUUGAGUUAUGCAGGAUUAUUGUUGCUCACCUUCUUCAAAUCCUGUGAAGCUGCUAGAAGAGGCCACUGCAGUUCAAUUAUCCUUGUUCUUUGUUUUAGUGUUUAAAUUUCAAAUUUCCAAUUUACUAGGCUGUUGAGGGUUGGAUUUCAUGUUUCUAGGUUGCAGAGAUAAAGGCUAAUGCCGAAGCUGAUGCACACUUUCCUUUUCAAAUCUCGUCUCUUCCAUAAUCACGGUGUUAGCUUCCGUAAACCACUUGUUCGUUACGUUGCUUCUUCCUCAACUCCACACCUAAAUGCAAAAAACUCUAUUCUGUUGGACUACCUCCUUGAAAUUCUCCACGGGCUAUUCACGCGCCAAAUCUCUUGAAAGGCCUCAAGAAGUCGUUUCUUUCUUCAAAGGUCUUGGCCUUUCUGAUGCUCGUGUCCAGUCCAUAGCCCGUGCUGUCCCCAGUAUUCUUUUUGCUGAUGUUGAGAAGACUCUGAAACCAAAAGUCAGGCUGUUUCAAGAACUCGGCCUGUCUACUCUCAUUAAGAAGGUGCUUGUUAGUGAUGGGAGAUAUAGAAGUGAAGAGCAAGUUAACGGUGAUUUGCUGCGUGUGCUGACUAGGUGCAGUACGAUUUUCUACAUGACUAGUCGAUUGGAGGCCAAUAUUGUUUAUUUGGAGAGCUGUGGGAUUGUUGGGUCGCAGCACUAGGCUCUUUACUAUGCCUGUGGAGAAACUCAAAGAACUUGUUUCAAGAGCAGCGGGGAUGAAUCUUGAUACGGGUUCGCGAAUGUUGGCUCAUGCUAUUGGCGUUCUUGGCUGUUCAAGCGCUUGUUCAGCAGCCCAAUCUGUUGUCGUUGAGCAUAAAAGAGAGAGUGAGUCCUGGAGAUACUCAAGUUGAGAAGGCUCGUGAGUAAGGAUCUGAGGUUGAUCACCACAAUGUCCCUGGAAAUUCUAUGACAAGUAUAUUAUCUAUUGUUGGCUUAUAAUGGCAAAUUUCUGGAUACCUCCUGAAUAGGAGAGGCGACCAUCUCGUUGGGAUGCUGUUGCUGAGCUAUGUAGGAACGCCCCCGGGACUCUUUGAGCAGUCGAUUGUCAAGAAAUCAACAGCAUUGUCUUCUCCUUGGCGUCCAGUUCCAUGGUUCGUGUAUUGUGUUGCACGUUCUGGGGAGCACAUUUGCGUUGGUGGAAUUUGGUGUAGAUGGAAUACACAUUUCAUAUCCUCAUGACUACAAAACAACCUGUUUUUUUUUGUGGUUUUACGACAGGGAAAACUUGCAACUGCUAUUGAGUUGAGAUGUGUCAAUUUGUCUUUAUUUAGACAUGUCUACUUAUAUGAUUCUCUAUUUAUUUA